GAUUUUAAUGCAGAUCGUGGAUGUCAAUUUAUAACAUACAAAAACAAAUUUAUUGAAUAACAGCUUUCAAAUGUUAAAAGCACAUCAAUGGCAUCACUGGUUAAAUACGAUUGGCCCCCAACCCCCUUGCACAACUAAUGAGAUGAAAUACAUUCGAUAUGAAAGAAAACCCAACUCUGCCAUACUCUCAGUUUUUGUGUUUCUUCCCUUUGGUUCGGUCGCGAAAUAGCUGUGUCCCUUUUAAAGUGAAAAUUAUUAAGUUUAAACCAACGAAAAUGUAAUAAACUUUCUAAAAAUCUGUAGUGCAUCGUUUAUUUGCCAAUAUAAUAUAAAAAACUUUAGCAAAACUUAAAUUUUAAAGCGUUUAAAUUGAGUAAAAAAGUUUUCUCAAAACUGACUUUGACCGAACGGCAAUUGAUCGUGGUGUGUUACGUUUUUACAUCUGACCAAGUGUGUAUUGUUGUUGUUUGUGUUCCAUGGUCUGCCGUGUGUUGGAGAACAUUAGUGAAAUCAAGAGAGACAGAGAGUGAGAGCGUGUGUGCAAAAUGCAAAGAUGCCAAAGAAAGAGGAUGAACAGAACAACAAAAUCAAAAUAUGUAGGCAAAGCGUUGGAGAAGUUGGCACCUGUAGUAUUGAAUGUCAUACAGGGGAAAAUAUUGAGUGUAUCUUUUGAAAGCACAACAAUGGCAUCACCGAUUGCAUUGAAUUGGCUCCCCCACCCUCUCACACAAUCAACAUGUUCUAAUAUAACGAGUGUAGAAGACAACACGCACGCAACUCGUUCCUAUUCUCAGUUUUGGUGUUUCUUCUUUUCGGUUCGGUCGCGAAAUGGCUAGGCUCCAUUAUAAAGUGAAAUUUCUUAGCUAAAAACUUAAGUAAUUGUAACAAACUUUACACAAAAAUAUAGAUCAUGGUUUAUUUUUCAAAAUAUCAUAAAAAGUUAAACAAAAACAACAUUUUGAACGCUUUAAAAAUGAGUGAAAAGAGUUUGCAAAAAUAAAAGGCUCGUUUCGUGUGUAAAAUAAACAGCAAAUGAUCGUGGUGUGUUAUUCUAUUUUCCACCUACGCAUUCGUGUGUUGUUGUUGGUGCAUUGUGAACCAAAUCAUCGCGGUGUUGAGUGUUUACGAACAUUAAUGAAAUCAGAGAGAGAGACAGAGAGCAAGAAAGGCAGUUAGCUAGAGAGAUGGUAAAUAUAUGAGAACAACAAUAACGAAGGCAAUGCAGUGGACAAUGU
rnacentral:sRNA from 1 species